rnacentral:antisense_RNA from 1 species
CUUCAGCGAGCCGAUCCACAGCGGAUGCUCGGCGUCGCGUUCCUUGCCGUAGGUGGCGAGCAGCGCCUGCGCCUC